AUAAGCGAAUAAGGGCUUAAGUUGGAUACCUUGGCAUUCAGAAGCGAUGAAGGGCGUGUCUACCGACGAAACGCUUCGGGGAGCUGGAAGUAAGCUUUGAUCCGGAGGUUCCCGAAUGAGGAAACUCUUUAAACUGCAUAUUUAAUACAUAGGUAUGUAAGAGCGAACCUGGUGAAUUGAAACAUCUCAGUAACCAGAGGAAAAGAAAGCAAAAGCGAUUCCCAUAGUAGCGGCGAGCGAAAAGGGAACAGCCUAAACUACUUCUUAAAAAGUAGGGUUGUGGGACAACCAUAAAUAGAUUCGAAAAGUUAGGCGAAGUCUUUGGAAUGAGACAUCAUAGAAGGUGAAAAUCCUGUAGUCGAAAACUUUGAAAACUAGUGUUGUAUCCCGAGUAGCAUGGGACACGUGAAACCCCGUGUGAAUCUGCGAGGACCACCUCGUAAGGCUAAAUAUUCCUGAAUGACCGAUAGUGAAACAGUACCGUGAGGGAAAGGUGAAAAGAACCCCGGAAGGGGAGUGAAAUAGAACAUGAAAGCUUAAGCUUACAAGCAGUGGGAGGACGACUAAACGUCUGACCUCGUACCUGUUGAAGAAUGAGCCGGCGACUUGUAGGUAGUGGCAGGUUAAGGUAGAAAAUACUGGAGCCACAGUGAAAGCGAGCCUGAAUAGGGCGACGGUCACUGCUUACAGACCCGAACCCGGAUGAUCUAACCAUGGCCAGUGUGAAGCUUAGGUAACACUAAGUGGAGGCACGAACCGACUGAUGUUGAAAAAUCAGCGGAUGAGUUGUGGUUAGGGGUGAAAUGCCAAUCGAAUCCGGAGCUAGCUGGUUCUCCCCGAAAUGCGUUUAGGCGCAGCGGUUAGUGCUAUAGCUUAGGGGUAAAGCACUGUUUCGGUGCGGGCUGCUAACGCGGUACCAAAUCGAUGCAAACUCUGAAUACUAAGUGUGUAACUAACCAGUAAGACUGUGGGGGAUAAGCUCCAUUGUCAAGAGGGAAACAGCCCAGACCACCAGCUAAGGCCCCUAAAUGAUUACUAAGUGAUAAAGGAUGUGGGAAUGCUGAGACAAUCAGGAGGUUCGCCUAGAAGCAGCUAUCCUUUAAAGAGUGCGUAAUAGCUCACUGAUCAAGCGCACCUGCGCCGAAAAUGAACGGGGCUAAGUAAUCUGCCGAAGCUGUGGGAUCUUUUAGAUCGGUAGGGGAGCGUUCCACAAUAGAUUGAAGCAUUAGCGUAAGCGGAUGUGGACGAAGUGGAAGUGAGAAUGUCGGCUUGAGUAGCGAAAACAUUGGUGAGAAUCCAAUGCCCCGAAAACCUAAGGUUUCCUCCGGAAGGCUCGUCCGCGGAGGGUGAGUCAGGACCUAAGGCGAGGCCGAAAGGCGUAGCUAAUGGACAACGGGUUAAUAUUCCCGUACCAUCUAUUGCUGAUAUCGAGGGACGGAGAAGGCUAGACCAGCCGGAUGUUGGUUACCGGUUUAAGCGUUAAAGGUGUUGAAGAGCGGCGAAAACGCUCUGAGCUAAGGCGUGAAUACGAAAUACCAAGGUAUUGAAGUGGUUGAUGUCAUACUUCCAAGAAAAGCUCGGAAUAUCAUAAGUUAUAGAUGCCUGUACCCGAAACCGACACAGGUAGGUAGGUAGAGCAUACCAAGGGGCGCGAGAUAACUCUCUCUAAGGAACUCGGCAAAAUUACCUCGUAACUUCGGAAAAAGAGGUACCCCUUUAGGGGGGUUGCAAUACAUUGACCCUGGCGACUGUUUACCAAAAACACAGGUCUCCGCUAAUUCGUAAGAAAAAGUAUGGGGGCUGACGCCUGCCCAGUGCCGGAAGGUUAAAGAAGUUGGUUAGUCUUCGGACGAAGCUAGCGACUGAAGCCCCGGUGAACGGCGGCCGUAACUAUAACGGUCCUAAGGUAGCGAAAUUCCUUGUCGGGUAAGUUCC
rnacentral:rRNA from 1 species